ACGAACGCUGGCGGCAGGCCUAACACAUGCAAGUCGAACGCCCCGCAAGGGGAGUGGCAGACGGGUGAGUAACACGUGGGAACCUUCCCUAUAGUACGGAAUAGCCCAGGGAAACUUGGAGUAAUACCGUAUACGCCCGAAAGGGGAAAGAAUUUCGCUAUAGGAUGGGCCCGCGUAGGAUUAGCUAGUUGGUGAGGUAAUGGCUCACCAAGGCGACGAUCCUUAGCUGGUUUGAGAGAACGACCAGCCACACUGGGACUGAGACACGGCCCAGACUCCUACGGGAGGCAGCAGUGGGGAAUAUUGGACAAUGGGCGCAAGCCUGAUCCAGCCAUGCCGCGUGAGUGAUGAGGGCCUUAGGGUUGUAAAGCUCUUUUGGCGGGGACGAUAAUGACGGUACCCGCAGAAUAAGUCCCGGCUAACUUCGUG
rnacentral:rRNA from 1 species